rnacentral:rRNA from 1 species
UUUAACUGAAGAGUUUGAUCAUGGCUCAGAUUGAACGCUGGCGGCAGGCUUAACACAUGCAAGUCGAGCGGAGAGAGGUAGCUUGCUACUGAUCUUAGCGGCGGACGGGUGAGUAAUGCUUAGGA